UACGGAGGGUGCGAGCGUUGUCCGGAAUCAUUGGGCGUAAAGGGCGCGUAGGUGGCGGGACAAGCGUGCGGUGAAAGCCUGGGGCUCAACCCUGCGUCGGCCAGGGAUACUGCCGCGGCUCGAGCACUGUAGAGGCAGGCGGAAUUCCGGGUGUAGCGGUGGAAUGCGUAGAGAUCCGGAAGAACACCGGUGGCGAAGGCAGCUCUCUGGGACGGUACUGACGCUGAGACGCGAAAGCGUGGGGAGCGAACAGG
rnacentral:rRNA from 1 species